UACGUAGGGUGCAAGCGUUAAUCGGAAUUACUGGGCGUAAAGCGUGCGCAGGCGGUCUGUUAAGACAGAUGUGAAAUCCCCGGGCUUAACCUGGGAACUGCAUUUGUGACUGGCAGGCUAGAGUAUGGCAGAGGGGGGUAGAAUUCCACGUGUAGCAGUGAAAUGCGUAGAGAUGUGGAGGAAUACCGAUGGCGAAGGCAGCCCCCUGGGCCAAUACUGACGCUCAUGCACGAAAGGCGUGGGGAGCAAACGAGGAUUACGAAACCC
rnacentral:rRNA from 1 species